GCCAGACUCCUACGGGAGGCAGCAGUGGGGGAUAUUGCACAAUGGGGGGAACCCUGAUGCAGCGACGCCGCGUGGGUGAAGGAGCGUUUCGGCGCGUAAAGCCCUCUCGGCAGGGAAGAAGGAGGACGGUACCUGACUAAGAAGCCCCGGCUAACUACGUGCCAGCAGUCGCGGUAAUACGUAGGGGGCAAGCGUUAUCCGGAUUUACUGGGUGUAAAGGGGGCGCAGACGGCAGCGCAAGCCAGGAGUGAAAGCCCGGGGCCCAACCCCGGGACUGCUCUUGGAACUGCGCGGCUGGAGUGCAGGAGGGGCAGGCGGAAUUCCUGGUGUAGCGGUGAAAUGCGUAGAUAUCAGGAGGAACACCGGUGGCGAAGGCGGCCUGCUGGACUGCGACUGACGUUGAGGCCCGAAAGCGUGGGGAGCAAACAGGAUUAGAUACCCCUGUAC
rnacentral:rRNA from 1 species